rnacentral:rRNA from 1 species
ACGGGAGGCAGCAGUGAGGAAUAUUGGUCAAUGGCCGGAAGGCUGAACCAGCCAUGCCGCGUGAAGGAAUAAGGUCCUAUGGAUUGUAAACUUCUUUUGUACGGGAGCAAUAAGGCAUACGUGUAUGUUGAUGAGAGUACCGUACGAAUAAGCAUCGGCUAACUCCGUGCCAGCAGCCGCGGUAAUACGGAGGAUGCAAGCAUUAUCCGGAUUUAUUGGGUUUAAAGGGUGCGUAGGCGGUAAGGUAAGUCAGCGGUGAAAUGUCCUCGCUUAACGAGGGAACUGCCGUUGAUACUGUUUUACUUGAAUUCGGAUGCCGUGGGAGGAAUGUGUAGUGUAGCGGUGAAAUGCAUAGAUAUUACACAGAACACCGAUUGCGAAGGCAUCUCACGAAUCCGACAUUGACGCUGAGGCACGAAAGUGUGGGGAUCAAACAGGAUUAGAUACCGUA